rnacentral:lncRNA from 1 species
GGGGAUCGAACUCAGGUGGUCAGGUUUAGCAGCAAGCCCCCUUUCACACUUAGCCCCAAUUAUGUAUUCAUACCCCCUCCCCACCAGCAGGGUGAGGCAGCUUGAGAGCCUGGUGGGAAUACUGCAGGUCAGAGUAAGGACUAAGCCACUGAACAUCACAGAAGGCUGAAGUUACCAGGAGGACCCUGAGGCAGUGUAAGGAGCUGAGUCUUCCACGACGGGGGCGCGGGUGAGUAAUUGAUUCAAUGAUUAAUACAGCAUUGCCUUCUCUCCUUCCAUUUGUGCAUCCAUUGAGGCAGGAGAUGUCAUCCCAGAACCCCCUGGAGAUUCUCUGUCUCUGCCUUGCAAGGCUGGUGUUACAGGUGGGCUGCUGUCAUGACCCUGAACUCCUUAUCAUUAGCAACAAUCGCUUUAACCACUGAGCCUUUCCCCAGAAUCUCCUUCCUUGCCCUCACCCCCCAAAGAACACUUCUCAGGGCUGGAGAGAUGGCUCAGCAGUUAAAAGCACUGGCUGCUCUUCCAGAGGUCCUGAGUUCAAUUCCCA